UACGUAGGGCGCAAGCGUUGUCCGGAAUUAUUGGGCGUAAAGAGCUCGUAGGCGGCGCGGUAAGUCGGGUGUGAAAUCUCGGGGCUUAACUCCGAAACUGCAUUCGAUACUGCCGUGCUUGAGGACUGGAGAGGAGACUGGAAUUUACGGUGUAGCGGUGAAAUGCGUAGAUAUCGUAAGGAAGACCAGUGGCGAAGGCGGGUCUCUGGACAGUUCCUGACGCUGAGGCACGAAGGCCAGGGGAGCAAACGGG
rnacentral:rRNA from 1 species